UCCAUUAAUCAAGAACGAAAGUUAGAGGUUCGAAGGCGAUCAGAUACCGCCCUAGUUCUAACCAUAAACGAUGCCAGCCAGCGAUCCGGCUGUGUUCCUCAAAUGACACGCCGGGCAGCUUCCGGGAAACCAAAGCUUUUGGGUUCCGGGGGAAGUAUGGUUGCAAAGCUGAAACUUAAAGGAAUUGACGGAAGGGCACCACCAGGAAUGGAGCCUGCGGCUUAAUUUGACUCAACACGGGAAAACUUACCCGGCCCGGACACAGGAAGGAUUGACAGAUUAAGAGCUCUUUCUUGAUUCUGUGGGUGGUGGUGCAUGGCCGUUCUUAGUUGGUGGAGCGAUUUGUCUGGUUAAUUCCGAUAACGAACGAGACUCUAGCCUACUAAAUAGACGUUCCGAUCAUCUCCGUCGGACGUUCUUCUUAGAGGGACAAGCGGCGUUUAGCCGCACGAGACAGAGCAAUAACAGGUCUGUGAUGCCCUUAGAUGUCCGGGGCCGCACGCGCGCUACAUUGAAGGAAUCAGCGUGUGCUUUCCCUGUCCGACAGGACUGGGUAACCCGUUGAACCUCCUUCGUGCUGGGGAUAGGGGCUUGUAAUUGUUCCCCUUGAACGAGGAAUUCCCAGUAUGCACGAGUCAUAAGCUCGUGUAGAUUACGUCCCUGCCCUUUGUACACACCGCCCGUCGCUACUACCGAUUGAAUGAUUUAGUGAGGUCUUCGGACUGGCGCUCGGAGCGGCCCUCGGGUCGCGCCGGCGUGCCGGAAAGAUGACCAAACUUGAUCAUUUAGAGGAAGUAAAAGUCGUAACAAGGUUUCC
rnacentral:rRNA from 1 species